rnacentral:rRNA from 1 species
UACGGAGGGUGCAAACGUUGCUCGGAAUCAUUGGGCGUAAAGCGUACGUAGGCGGCCCAGCGAGUCGGGUGUGAAAGCCCUCGGCUUAACCGAGGAAGUGCAUUCGAAACUACUGGGCUUGAAUACUGGAGAGGAUCGCGGAAUUCCCGGUGUAGAGGUGAAAUUCGUAGAUAUCGGGAGGAACACCAGUGGCGAAGGCGGCGAUCUGGACAGAUAUUGACGCUGAUGUACGAAAGCGUGGGGAGCAAACAGG